rnacentral:lncRNA from 1 species
GACCGAAGCGCCCUACGUGGUAAGGGGCGCUGACAAAGUGCCACGCAGGAGGCCACGCUGACGAUCCAUGUGCCCACGAUCGGACAGUCCAGAUUCGUUCCCGCACGCACGGACAGUCCGGAUUCGUUCUCUCCUCAGACGCGAUCGGACGGUCACGAUUAAACGUAAUGAAUAGUCCAGAUCCACUUUCUAUUUAAACGCGAUUGGCCAGUGCAGAUUAAAUCACGAUGGACGACCCAGAUUCACUACCUAUUUAAUCGCGAUUGAACGACGUAGAUCAAACGUUAUGGACAGUCCAGAUUAAAAUGGGAUAGAUAUAAAUAACUCUCUUCACACCAAACCCUAACCCUAGCCGCCAGACACCCCCUCUAGAGAAGAAG